rnacentral:rRNA from 1 species
GACGAACGCUGGCGGCGUGCUUAACACAUGCAAGUCGAACGGUGAAGCGCCUUCCUUUUUGGGUGGUGUGGAUGAGUGGCGAACGGGUGAGUAACACGUGAGUAACCUGCCCCCUGCGUCUGGAUAACCGCAUGAAAGUGUAGCUAAUACGGGAUAUUCUGGGUCUGUCGCAUGAUGGGUCUGGUAAAGAUAUUGUGUCGGUGGGGGAUGGGCGCGCGGCCGAUCAGGUUGUUGGUGGGGUGAUGGCCUACGAAGGCGGUGAGGUGUAGACGGCCUGAGAGGGUGGACGGCCAGAGAGGGUGUGCGACACGGCCGAGACUGCGACGCGAGGCAGCAGCCGGGAAUAUGGAACAGUGGGGGAAAGUGUGAUGCAGCCGCGCGGCGGGAGCGACGGCGGCCUGCGGGUUGUGAACGUCUUCCGCUAGUGAAGCAGGCCUGCCUGGUAUGUGGGUGGGUUGACGGUAGCUGGAUAAGAAGCGCCGGCUAACUACGUG